rnacentral:lncRNA from 1 species
UAGUAAAAGUAAAUAGAAAUCUAUGAAAUUUAAACACAAGGUUUAUGACCAUAAAAGGAAGGUUGUGAUUGAUUUUGGGUGUUUUGGUCCCAACAGUUUAGGAAUUAGGGGCCAAAAAGGGCCCAAAUAGGCAUUUUUCUUGGUUUUCGCACAAUAGAUUUAGUAUAAGUAAACAGAAAUCUAUGAAAUUUUAAUAUAAGGUCUAUGACCACAAAAGGAAGGUUGGGAUUGAUUUUGGGAGUUUAAGUCCCAACAGUUUAGGAAUUAGGGGCCAAAAACAGGUCCCAAAUAAGCAUUUUUCUUGGUUUUUGUCGAGCCUUCGACUUUAGUCGAAAAAGCAAGACUAAGCGAUCCUACAUUCCGUCGUCGUCGGUGUCGUCGGCGGCGUC